UAUAUUUUUAUUUAUCAAGGUGCAUAAAGGUUAUUUUCUAUCCGUCAAUAGCCUGAUUUGCCGAACAGGGAACCCCGUUAAAAUCGGGGACGGGCCCGCCGCUGUGACCAGGGACGAACGCCGCAGAUAAACCACUGUUUCAAAGAUUGAAAUGGGAAGGUGCGGAAAACGGAUGAUCUGGAAGUCAGAAGACCUGCCUUGAUAAUCAACAGGAU
rnacentral:ncRNA from 2 species